rnacentral:rRNA from 1 species
UGGUGGAGUGAUUUGUCUGGUUAAUUCCGUUAACGAACGAGACCUCGACUUACUAAAUAGUCUGAAUCACUCUUCGGGGUGGUUAUUAGACUUCUUAGAAGGACUAUUGGCGCGUAGCCAGUGGAAGUUUGAGGCAAUAACA